ensembl:lncRNA
AUGUACAAGAGCAUGUUUAGACCAGAAGUGAUAAGAAGGGUCGAACUGUGCUUCUUCCGACCUUGCAAAACUUCCAUCCUUGCCUCGGACAUCAGAAAUCCACCACGUGGUUUUCUCUGCUGAAUGCUCAACUUCUGUCUAUAUAAACCUUGUGCGAUGUGUUUAUCAUUGCUUCACUUUCAGCCUUGUGCUGGGAGUGAGCCCGAUUGCAAUUGUUGUUUGUCUAAUAAAUAUACUUAUAUGCAGCUCCGGAGUCCUGAGGUAACUAGGGUGAAUUUUCACCUAUCAUAAUUGGGGGCUUGUGACCGGGAUUCCAACAACCUCAUCGACUCUCCACGCUGGGCUAAUCAUCAGGACCUGAAUCGUACGGAGGAGUACGAGACUCAGUUUUUCUAAAGACCUCCAACUUGAAUUGGAAGGAGGCCAGGGCCUGCCAGCAUGGAGAGCCGAGAGUGAAGGAAUUGAAUUGAACUAUGGGGGGUGGACUCUGAGCUGUUUGUGAGUAUAUUGUUUGUUUGUUGUAAGUGCACGGUAGUAUAUGGUUAUUGUUUGUUUCGGUUUUGCAUACACUUGUCUUCAAGUGGGGUUGAGACUAAUUUUUGCAUGUUUGCUGCGGGGUGUAAAGGGGAACAACGGUUCAAGGGAGAACUUUUUCCUGGUUGCCUCGUGUGUUGAACGAAUUGCUAGAGUUAGAGAGACUCCUGUCUGUAGUUUUCAUGUUCUUGGAGCGCUCAAGGCUAAAUGAUUGUAUAUUCCUGUUUACCUUCCUGUCCCCUGGUAAGGUAGAGACGGAAGGGUACCGUUCGUUUAGGAAACGGUAAAGGAUAUAAGCAAAGAAAGCCUGUUGCCAAAAGAAGGGCUAGCGCGCGCUAAAAGUAUAAGUACUGUUCACCUUCCUGUCCCCUGGUAAGGUAGAGACGGAAGGGUAUCGUUCGUUUAGGGAACGCUAAAGGUUAUACGCGAGAGCGCUGUUCACCUUAAAAGGAAGGUGUCAUCUGAAGUUGAAAACUCUCUAGGCCUAUUUCUCCGGAUAUUUCUGUAUAUUUUCCUGUUCGCCUUGUAUGAAGGGAACAAACUUUUCAAUUUAUGUUUUCCUAUGGGCCCCCCUGGUAGGCCUCUGGGUGCUUUGUUAAAAAGGGCUUUACAAGAGGGUUAUAGUCCGUUACGAAUUGAUAUAUUCCUGAGGGAGACGAGUCUCCUUAAAAGAUAAAAAGAGAGAGUCAGAGAUACUCCUGUGUGUUAUUUUUCUGUGGGGUUGAGACAAACUUUUUACAAUGAGUAAAACACAGAUAAUGUAGUCAUAAUUUAUGUAAUUAAAGAUUUCGCAUUACUGAGAUGCCUUGACCCGGAACCAGUAGGGGACUGAUGAAAUUCCCUGGCCUCAACCUCCUCACCAAACGAGUGAGACGGGGGCCCUCUGGUCGGGCUCGGGUUGACUCAGCAUUGCGAUCUCAAGAACAAAUAAUGGGAAGUGAGGAAAGUGAAGUGUUAAAAUAGAAAGUAAGAAGAAAGAGACAUCUAAAAGCAAGUCUAAAAGAGUCUGAAAGUAGAAACAUAACUAACCCUAGUGUGAAGAAUAAGAUAAAGGUAAUUUAAAAGGUUUCAAGAUCAGUUAGAGGUAUUAAGAGAAAUACAUAAAAUAACUUAAAAAAUGGGAAAAAGUGUGUCAAAAUCAGAAGACGUACAUGAUAAUGGCAAUAAGAGGUGGCUUAAAAUGUCAAGAAGAAGAAAAUUGUAACACUGAUUUGAAAAUGUUUUUACAUUUUUAUAUUGGUUGCGCCAAACAGAGCAAAGCUUACGUUAAUGGUGGCAAGAAAGCCAAUGAUUUUUUGUUUUGUUUUGUUUUGUUUUGUGUGACUCUGAUUACUCUAAUUAGAUGCCCAGAACAGUAAGGUUGCAAAAAGAAAGAGACAUCUAAAAGCAGACUCUGAAAACAGGAGAGAUGUUUAAAAAAUACAGAUUAUGUUUCAAAAACAUGCCCUACAAAUUUAUUAGGAAGAGAUGUGAUGUGGGUUGGGCAUUAGAAUUGUUCCAACAAUACAUGGGUUUUAGAAUAAAUUAAACAAUGGUGUGUCAAAGAAAUGGUGUCUCAAAAUAUUAGUAUGUAUAGAAUAUACACUGUUUAGCCCCAAAAACAAAAAAGAUUUAAAGAGAAAUUGAAGCCUGUCACACUAACUACAUUAACCUAGACUGAUGCAUUGGACUAACACAGGCUGGGUGGGAGUUGAGUGCUGGCUCAAAAGAAUAUGCUGUUCCUCCAGAUAAGAAGACUUGUAAACAACACACCCUGGUGUUGUUAAGAUUUUUAGCAGAAACAAGGCCACAAAAUUUGCAACUGUGGUCCAGUAAAGUAAAGCUAUCUUAAAAAAGCACCUCAGCCACAGACAAAUAAAUAAAUUAUGUCUUAGCACAUUCAUGACAUGACAAAGCCAUUCGUACAAACUAUAGACUGUAAAAAAAAGAAAAAAAAGGUUAUAUGACAUCUGUGUUAAUGCAUAAGUGGGGACUUAAAGUUGAUACCAGUGCCAUACUAUUCCACACGGCUAGAUCCAGUAGCCCAAGCAAUGUCUGAAUGUUUACAAGCAGUAGUGGCUGCAGCCUUGGCGGUGCAGGCCUCUGCUCCUAUUGUACUAAACAGACACUUAGACUGAAAGUUCCACAUGCUUAUUUAUUUAAUUUUUUUUUUUUGCUCACUCAGCCUCAUAUCAAUAUUGAGCGCUGCGUGACAUUUAACCCAGUUACACUUUUCCUUACGGCAGAAGACAGAUAAAAACUAUGGCAGCCAGAGCUGACCUACGAGAUAUGCCUUUUCCAGAAGCUGAUUUAACUAUUGUUUGUUGAUGGUUCAAGCAAAUAAACCUUGAACACAUAGCCACUACUUCCACACUAUUCCGCACAAGCAGCAGAACUGAUUUCCCUGAUUGCGCACACACACACAUGCAAAAGACCCGGUUUCAUUGGAAAACCACAAAGCAGACAAGGCCACUAACCAGGCCGCACUACAACAACCAUCUGACACGUACACAAUUGAAGAAUUAGAUCUCACAAUACUAAAAGAUAUGCUGCAAUAUUGAGCCAUGGUGAAAACAUGCCUCAAUAAGUGGGGAUAGUAAGCAUAUAUUUGUAGUUCUUAUUUAUAUUUUAUGAGAAAGAUGUUUAAUCAUUCAUUAUUGAUUUUAUUGAGUUAAAUCCCAACGAAAGAAAGAAAUAUUGUCUAGCCAUAGACAAUCACUGUUCAUACAAUCCCCAGUCAGUCGGACUGGUAGAAAAGAAUGAACCAAACUAUUAAAAGCUAAUUGAGAAUCCAAGAGUGAAAUUAGUGAAAUUAAGCAUGCAUGUUGUUAUCACUGUUUAAAAUGAUGUAUGGAAGAAUCUACACUGCCUCAACUCUUAAACCAUUUGCUAUAACAGACAAAGAGAUUGAAUAUACAUUUGCAGAGUACAUGGCAAAGAUCAUGUCGAAACUAAAUGCUCUCAGACUUCUCUCCCCUACACAGGAACACUGUGAGGCUGAAACCAAGGUUGGGUCAGGAGAUUGUGUCCUAAUCAACAGCCUCAAAAGAAAACACUGCCAGACAGUGACCAUACCAAGUGCUACUGUCAACACCUACCGCAGUCAAAAUAGCUGAGAGUGACACGGCAAACGGGUAAGCCUGCACACGGCUGAGGCAGAGGAAUAAAGAUCAUCUUUCUUUGCUGUUUCCAGGGAGUGCCCACUGUGACAGAAGACCAGCCUACAAAGGGGUUAAGAUGUUUAGAUUCUAUUCGUCUCAACCACUGGCAGAAGAUACAGUACUGUCCUGGGGGAUUAGAACCUAGUGGAAAUUGUGGAGUAAGAGGUCUCUUCCUCUGCAAGGUCAUGGGAGGUUACGGAAAGUGGGCCAAAGGAUGUGAGGGACUCUUAGCAACGACUGUAGGAUUUUACAUUGUUGGUCUAUUAACAUACUUAUGGAUGAGACAGCAAACACCGGCCCUGGACGAAUAUCUACGAUGGGACCUGGCUAAAGAUCACCCGUGAUGGAAAUGGAUUACCCCCAGGUCCAAGACUCACCAGUACCUGAGGAACGUUCCAAUGCAUUCCUUACGAGGGAGGAGAGAAGCAGGGGAUGACAGCGGGAUCUGGUUUGAUGGCCUGGGCAUUCCCUGAGGCAUUCCAGACCACUACAAAGCCUUGAACCCAGCAGCCAAUGGCCUGGCAUCUACCCUCUGCCCCUGGUGCGUCAUCGGAGCACACACAGAUUGGAUUAACUUCCUUUACUACGCUGAGAUGAAGUUCCAAAACCUGACCAGAGACGGACUACAAAAGAUCAGAGAAGAACUACACGCCAACUCCAGGUUAACGCGGCAAAACACAGCUGUGCUUGAAAUUCUCACUGCCAUGAAUGGAGGCAUUUGUGUCAUGCUUGGUACUGACCAAUGUUGCACAUAUGUCCCUGAUAACACCAGAGAUGGGAAAGACUUAGAUCUGAUCCUACAAAAGAUGCAAAAAGUUGUCAAACAGGAUGCCUGAUGGGGAACAGGGCCUUCAAGGACACAGCAAAGAAACCUUGUUUGAAUUUUAUCUGAAGCCUAGGCAAGCUAAUGACACACACACAGUCGACAUUCACUAUGUUGGCCUACAAAUGCAAACUAUACAAAUGUGUGAUGAGAAAUAUGAUGACAUUUUAAAUGAUUGACUUAUAAUGAUAUGGAGUGAUGCUCAGUAACGAUCUCUGCUCCGAAAAUCCAUGUGAUGAAGCUCAGAGUGAUGAUUUUGAGGUUAUCCAUUGAAAUUGAUAAUUGACGAAUUAAGAAAGAUGAUUUGUGAUUUUGAUUUUGAUUUUGAAUUAUCCAUUGAAACGGAUAAAAGGAGGGACUGAUGGAGAUAAUUUCCAAACACUGUUAAUGACUUAAGAAUAUAAUAAUCAAGUGCUUUGUAUUAUUAAUUACCUUAUAUAAAUCAUGUACUUAUGUAAGCAGGAACAUGGCUUUUCUGUGUUUCUGUGUGCGUGUGUGUAACUAAGAUAUUAGGUGCCACUUAGUCUGCACAUGUACAAGAGCAUGUUUAGACCAGAAGUGAUAAGAAGGGUCGAACUGUGCUUCUUCCGACCUUGCAAAACUUCCAUCCUUGCCUCGGACAUCAGAAAUCCACCACGUGGUUUUCUCUGCUGAAUGCUCAACUUCUGUCUAUAUAAACCUUGUGCGAUGUGUUUAUCAUUGCUUCACUUUCAGCCUUGUGCUGGGAGUGAGCCCGAUUGCAAUUGUUGUUUGUCUAAUAAAUAUACUUAUAUGCAGCUCAGGAGUCCUGAGGUAACUAGGGUGAAUUUUCACCUAUCACAGAGGUGCUCAGACUUUGUACAAAAAACACAUUGUAAAGAUUUUGGAGCAAGGCUUUUGAACUCUGAACUUUGUAAACAUAGGUGUUAGCUAUACAAAGGUGAGAUUAGCAUUCAGAAAGUGUGUUUGGUUUCACUACUACAUAUUUAUAAUUUCAGAGUGACCUUUCCCUCUCCAAAACUAGUGUUCCUACUCAAUGCAUAUUGAUGGGUUAGAUGUAAACACACCUGGGACACCUGAGUCAAAGUCAAUGGCCAUUGCGUAAUGGCCCUGGAAUGUCUUUGUGGCCCUCUACCCCCCACAGGUUCUUCAUCAUGACCC